UGGAUUUGCCCCUGACCACCUUGUUCUUUCUCCGCCAUUAUCCUCCCAAUCACCUUUUCACGUAUCAACUUCAAUAUCAGAUUGCUAGGGGUACCCUGAACACCCUCAUCAUAUGCCAGUCAGAAGAGAUCUUGGAGACAGACCAUGUUUCGAAUUCAGAUGAAUUUCAUACUCCUGAUGAUGGAUGAUUUCUCUAUCAACAAACCGAAAACUAGGGCUAGGCAUGGUCCGAUUAAGUUCGAUUCUAACCAGAAUAGAAGGAACCCAAAAUUUUCGGAUAUUUAGCAAGUGGAACCGUCGGAUCCAAAUUUAAUUAUGGAAUCAUUAGGGUUCAGUUCCAUUCGGUUAUUUAUUUCCGUACUAUAAUUAAAUUUUUUAAUAUUUACAAAACUACAUUAAUUUAACUAAUGACAUGUUCAAUCUUAGCUCUUUAAAAUAACGUAGUGCAAUCAUAUGUACCUUUUGCAUAUCUUUUUACUGAGUUCUUUAUAAAUUUGAUUGUUAAAAUCACAGAAAGGGGAAGAUAAAGAGCUUACAAUAAUUAAGAGAGGCGUUGUCGAGUUUCAAUUCAAUUCUCCAAAACAAUAGAAAUGAUACUACAAUAACAAAUUUAGGUAAAGUUUAGGUCAAUUUGAUAAAGUUGGCUUGAAUUGAAAAUUAGAAAUAGGAAAAUUAUAUUGGGUUUGAGCUAAAUUAAUUAGUUAGCAAAAUACUAAAACUAAUUUGACUUAUUUAAAAUAAAUUAAUUAAAAAAAUUAGGGAGACUUG
rnacentral:lncRNA from 1 species